rnacentral:lncRNA from 1 species
CCCAGCCCCUGGAACUCUUAAUAAAUCAUUUGCUUAGAUGUUACUGUAUUGGUCAAGUUUGGUUGUGACUAACAGAGAUCCUAAAUAGCAGUGGCUUCAGAGUACAAAGUUAAAUUCUCUCCUACAUGGAGGUCUGAAGGUAGGUAAUCCAGGACAGGAAUGUGGCUCCAGAGUUGUUGGGACGCAGGCUGCUUUGGCUUUCAGAUUCUGCUAGCCCCUAAUUGUUGUCCUCUCCAGUCCCAUGGGGCACUCCACUCACACACAUUUUCUAAGUAGCAGGAGGGAUGAAACAAGGAAGAGGUAUGUCUCUGUCAUAGGCAGAAUUAUAGUACCUAAAAGCCUGAAAGAUGUCCAUUUGUAAUCACUCAAACCUGUGAAUAUGAUCUCUUAUUUGACAAAAGGGAAUUUAUGUUAGAGUCUGUAAACAAGUCAAAAUAACACCUGGCAUUUUGCCAGGGGAAUGUUAGAGUUCGUAAACAAGUCUGGAUGGUGCCUGGCAAAAUGCCAGAGGGAGUGGUUUGAGAAGUAACAAAAGUGAGCCAUUAAGUGUGGAGAUUCCUGAUUGGUUGACUGCUGUAUCUAGUUUAUGUUAAUUAGAUAAGCUGUGUGAAAUGUAUAAAUACUGCUCCUGUCCUGCAAUAAACGGGUUCCACUCCUGCUGUAUCAACUGUACACAAAUUAUUCGUCACCCCCCAGUUAUUUUGCUGCCCAACGAACUGCUGCAAAUUUACAGAUGACAUUAGGUUAGGGACCUUAAAAUGAGGAGAUUAUUUUGGGUUAUCCCCAGAGACCCUAUAUAAUCCUAAGCCCUAUAAAGCAAAGAAUAAAAAAGAGAGACAAAAGGAAAAGACAAAGAUUUUCCAAGUGUGUGUGGAAGGGUGCGGGGGGUGUCUUGCAGAGCCAUCUUGGCCUCUGAUAUGAAGAAGCCCACGUGCAAGACCUGGAGAGAGUCCCUUGGAGCAAAGGCCAGCCUGCAAGUGACAAUCAGCAAGGAAACCAGGACCUCAGGUCUCCAACCACAAGGACCUAAUUCUGUCAUGAUCUUAAUGAGUCAGGAAGCAGAUUCUUCUCAGAGUCUUCAGAUGAUAAGAGCCCAACUAACUAGCAACUUGAUUUUGACCUUGUGGAUAUGGGAUAGAGAAAUAGAGAAACCUGCUGCGCCAAGAACUUUUGACCCAUAGAAACUGAGACAAUAGGGUUGGGAAUAUACCUCAGUAGAAUACUUUCCUUGCAUGUACUAGGCCCUGGGUUCAAUCCC